CUGCAAUACUUGGGGUACCUACCACCUCCUAACUUUAGGCUGGGAAGAGGCUUUCUCACUGCCUCCAGAAGGCCCGGUGGCUGAACAGCUAGCUGUCCAUGCCCAAGACCCCACAUUCAUGCAGUUCGUGUAGAUUGGGUCAGCGCAUGAGUACGCGAGUGGAAAUGCACUAAAGAGGUGUUGUCCAGUCCACUCUGGGGCAUACAUAUUAUGGGGCCAGGGAAAUUCUCCAUCAACAGUUGAAAUCAUCCUUGCUCGGUUCUGCCGGGACGCCCUUUAUUCCUCCUACGACCAUGCUGCUUCGUGGCCUGUGCAAACCUCAUUACUGGCUGUUCCAAACUGCCAUAUAUGAACAAAAGUCAUAUUGAUAAUUAACUACUAUUAAUUGAAUGUUUGCCAUGAAGCAGGCAUUGCAUCAGGGUCUUGAUGUAGAUAAUCUGAUUUAAUGCUCACAAUGACCAUUUUUCUUUACUCAGAUGAGGCACCCGAGGGGUAGAGAAACCGAAGAAAUGUAUCUGGGGUCGCACACAAAAAUUCGAGCCUAGUUCUCUGUGAUUCCAGAACUACCUUGACCACCACGUCAUGUUAAUCUAAAAGACCAGAGAGAAGAGAAUAAUACAGAGAGGAAAAAGAAAGGAAUUUUGUGAGCCAGUUGUAAAGAAUGCACAGGUUAAGAGAAUGCAUGAGGAGAAUAUCUGUGCAAAUAUGCUACCAAGCCAGUAUAUGCACCUGGAGCAACAAGCUUAUCUAUUGACCAGGACCCUAAAUCUUCUGGCGCCUGUGGGUCUGUCUUGCAUGCUGAUAAAGGGAAAGCUUGGAGGGAUUCACAAAUAUGCUAAGAAUGGACACUUCCUUAUCUUUGUUUUGCUUAUGCUAUACAAUGUUGUAGAACCUUGAAUAAAACUGACAUUGCUUGG
rnacentral:lncRNA from 1 species